GACGAACGCUGGCGGCGUGCUUAACACAUGCAAGUCGAACGGUGAAGCGCCUUCCUUUUUGGUGGGUGUGGAUGAGUGGCGAACGGGUGAGUAACACGUGAGUAACCUGCCCCCUUCUUCUGGAUAACCGCAUGAAAGUGUGGCUAAUACGGGAUAUUCUGGGUCUGUCGCAUGAUGGGUCUGGGAAAGAUAUUGUUUCGGUGGGGGAUGGGCUCGCGGCCUAUCAGCUUGUUGGUGGGGUGAUGGCCUACCAAGGCGGUGACGGGUAGCCGGCCUGAGAGGGUGGACGGUCACACUGGGACUGAGACACGGCCCAGACUCCGACGGGAGGCAGCAGUGGGGAAUAUUGCACAAUGGGCGCAAGCCUGAUGCAGCGACGCCGCGGGAGGGAUGGAGGCCUGCGGGUUGUGAACCUCUUUCGCCAGUGAAGCAGGCCUGCCUCGUUUGUGGGUGGGUUGACGGUAGCUGGAUAAGAAGCGCCGGCUAACUACGUG
rnacentral:rRNA from 1 species